rnacentral:rRNA from 1 species
UGGGGAAUUUUGGACAAUGGGCGAAAGCCUGAUCCAGCAAUGCCGCGUGUGUGAAGAAGGCCUUCGGGUUGUAAAGCACUUUUGUCCGGAAAGAAAUCCUUGGCUCUAAUACAGUCGGGGGAUGACGGUACCGGAAGAAUAAGCACCGGCUAACUACGUGCCAGCAGCCGCGGUAAUACGUAGGGUGCAAGCGUUAAUCGGAAUUACUGGGCGUAAAGCGUGCGCAGGCGGUUUGCUAAGACCGAUGUGAAAUCCCCGGGCUCAACCUGGGAACUGCAUUGGUGACUGGCAGGCUAGAGUAUGGCAGAGGGGGGUAGAAUUCCACGUGUAGCAGUGAAAUGCGUAGAGAUGUGGAGGAAUACCGAUGGCGAAGGCAGCCCCCUGGGCCAAUACUGACGCUCAUGCACGAAAAGCGUGGGGAGCAAAACAGGAUUAGAUACCCUGGUAGUCCACGCCCUAAAACGAUGUCAACUAGUUGUUGGGGAUUCAUUUCCUUAGUAACGUAGCUAACGCGUGAAGUUGACCGCCUGGGGGAGUACGGUCGCAAGAUUAAAACUCAAAGGAAUUGACGGGGUCAUAGCUGUUUCCU